CUAAAAUAUGUAUGGCCAAAAAUCAUCAAGCUGACAUUACAAAGCAAAUUUUACAUUGUUUCAUAACAACUUCUUUGUGUUUUCCUCCUUAGAUGUGAAAACCUACGUGUGUACAAACUGGGCCUCUUUUCAGGCCUUUGGUGGACGCUAGCACUUUUCUGCUGGAUCAGUGACAAAGCAUUUUGUGAAACCUGGUCCUCAUUUAAUUUUCCUUAUUUGCACUGUGUGUGUGGCUGCAGUAGAGGCAGGGAUCAACCAUUGCCAAGCAGCAGGGUAAGACAACACAAACCAACAGAGCACAGCUGUCAACACCUCUGUGUGUCUGUAUGUCAUUUUUCACUAGAUGGAGACAGGACACUGGAUCACUUUGUCCUCCAGGAGGACACUGACAAUCAGAAACACAAAAUAAAGCCCAAACAUGAGGAAACCCAGGAACUUAUUCAUCCUCCACUUGCAGAA